rnacentral:rRNA from 1 species
UAGGGAAUCUUCCACAAUGGACGCAAGUCUGAUGGAGCAACGCCGCGUGAGUGAAGAAGGUUUUCGGAUCGUAAAGCUUUGUUGUUGGUGAAGAAGGAUAGAGGCAGUAACUGGUCUUUAUUUGACGGUAAUCAACCAGAAAGUCACGGCUAACUACGUGCCAGCAGCCGCGGUAAUACGUAGGUGGCAAGCGUUGUCCGGAUUUAUUGGGCGUAAAGCGAGCGCAGGCGGAAUGAUAAGUCUGAUGUGAAAGCCCACGGCUCAACCGUGGAACUGCAUCGGAAACUGUCAUUCUUGAGUGCAGAAGAGGAGAGUGGAAUUCCAUGUGUAGCGGUGGAAUGCGUAGAUAUAUGGAAGAACACCAGUGGCGAAGGCGGCUCUCUGGUCUGCAACUGACGCUGAGGCUCGAAAGCAUGGGUAGCGAACAAG